rnacentral:rRNA from 1 species
UACGUAGGGUGCGAGCGUUAAUCGGAAUUACUGGGCGUAAAGCGUGCGCAGGCGGUUUUGUAAGCCAGAUGUGAAAUCCCCGGGCUUAACCUGGGAAUGGCAUUUGGGACUGCAAGGCUCGAGUGCGGCAGAGGAGACUGGAAUUCCUGGUGUAGCAGUGAAAUGCGUAGAUAUCAGGAGGAACACCGAUGGCGAAGGCGGCAUCCUGGACCGGCAUUGACGCUGAGGAGCGAAAGCCAGGGGAGCAAACGGG